rnacentral:rRNA from 1 species
GAUUAACGCUGGCGGCGUGCCUAACACAUGCGAGUCGAGCGGCAGCGAGUUUUACACUGCCUUCUGGAAGCUUCUAGUUGAAAGAGAAGAUUUAUUCAAGAAUUUUGUGUAAAAUGUCGGCGAGCGGCGGACGGCUGAGUAACGCGUGGGAACGUACCCCAAAGUGAGGGAUAACGCAUCGAAAGGUGUGCUAAUACCGCAUAUGGUCUUCGGAUUAAAGCCUUCGGGCGCUUUGGGAACGGCCUGCGUAAGAUUAGAUAGUUGGUGGGGUAAUGGCCUACCAAGUCGACGAUCUUUAACUGGUUUGAGAGGAUGAUCAGUCAGACUGGAACUGAGACACGGUCCAGACUCCUACGGGAGGCAGCAGUGAGGAAUCUUCCACAAUGGGCGAAAGCCUGAUGGAGCAACGCCGCGUGCAGGAUGAAGGCCUUCGGGUUGUAAACUGCUUUUAUAAGUGAGGAUUAUGACAGUAACUUAUGAAUAAGGAUCGGCUAACUACGUG